CUUUCCCUCUGGCGGUAGGCCUAACACAUGCAAGUCGAACGGCAGCACAGUAAGAGCUUGCUCUUACGGGUGGCGAGUGGCGGACGGGUGAGGAAUACAUCGGCAUCUACUUUUUCGUGGGGGAUAACGUAGGGAAACUUACGCUAAUACCGCAUACGACCUACGGGUGAAAGCAGUGGAUCUUCGGACCUUUCGCGAUUGAAUGAGCCGAUGUCGGAUUAGCUAGUUGGCAGGGUAAAGGCCCACCAAGGCGACGAUACGUAGCUGGUCUGAGAGGAUGAUCAGCCACACUGGAACUGAGACACGGUCCAGACUCCUACGGGAGGCAGCAGUGGGGAAUAUUGGACAAUGGGCGCAAGCCUGAUCCAGCCAUACCGCGUGGGUGAAGAAGGCCUUCGGGUUGUAAAGCCCUUUUGUUGGGAAAGAAAAGCAGCAGAUUAAUACCCCGCUGUUCUGACGGUACCCAAAGAAUAAGCACCGGCUAACUUCGUG
rnacentral:rRNA from 1 species